AGAGGAACCCUAAGUCUAGUCACACUUGGCCUAGCCGGAGAAGAAGGUCCAGCCACAGGAGAAAGAGACCGACCCGCGGCCACCGCCUCAUCGGAGCCACGAUUAACUACCAAAAAAGGUAAAAUUCUCUCAUAUCUACUCUGAAUUCAAUUCAGAGUCUUUAUGUGGCUAUAUUAGAGCAAAAUAGAGGGCGAUUGAGCCAAAAACUUCGGGCAAGGCCUGACAGAGCUUCUGUGGCUGAAACUAAAAAACUCCUCUGAUGAGCUCCUUCUUAUAUUUCGUUUCACACAAUUUUUUUACUAUUGUAUUCACUAUCCAUUUUUGUGCAGGUUAGUCAAAGAAGAAAUUCCAACUGUGAAGGAAAACCGGCAAAAACAUCGCACCCAGAUACCACCCGCUGGUAGAUUUAGUUU
rnacentral:lncRNA from 1 species